UUUGCACAAAUUUCUUGCAACAGAAAGGGCUGUUCAAAGCAGAAAUUUUAGUGACCUACAAUACAGUCGUCUUCAUCUUGUGGAACACAUGCAAUCCCAGAACCAUGGUGACCACUUUACCAAAAUAAGUGAACUUCAUGAGACUUUAAGGGAUUUAUGCCUGCUGGUUAAUAACAUCAUUUACUCUCCUGUGUGCCACCCAGUUUCUCUGUCUUUGGUACAAACAAGGGGACGGCCAAGCUUUCCCAGUUGAGGGCAAGAGAGGAUGCGUACCAUUAAUCCAGCAGGAACUCUGAUACGACAAAGACGUGUCAUCAAAAGAAGAGUGUACAGUGUCAGAGGAUCAAACCACUUAUGGCAUAUAGACUCCAACCAGAAACUGAUUGCAUGGAGAUUUGUUCUUCAUGGCUGCAUUAAUGGAUUCAGCAGAACAGUUAUUUACUGUAUUUGAGAUGUGGCUCGAACUGCAACAGUACUGUCUUUCUUUCAGAUUGUCGUCCCCCAAUUUGGUUUGCCAUUAAGAGUAAGGGGAGACAGGGGCCGUGAAAAUGUACAUGUUGCACAGUACAUGAUCGGAAGAAGAUGAACAGACCAGGGAAGCUUUAUCGUGGGAAGGAGUGUGUAUAACCAAAGGAUUGAACGUCUCUGGGAGGAUGUGAACAGGGUUGUGUCAGACUUUUAUCACUGGCAUUGUGAAACUCUGGUAUGAUAAUUGAGCCAAAUAUUUGUCCUUAAGUCCUUAAUGUGUCUGACAUAAAUGACUACAGUCUUGACUUUGUUAAUGAGAAUAUGAGACAGAUCAACACUGACCAGAAAACAAUUACCUUCAAAUAUUAUUGGAUCCUUUAUCAGAUGAUG